ACAAAAUAUCAGCGCAUUUGUUUGCACAGCCAACUGACGUCAUGACCACAGAGCAAUAUGACGUCCACUGCGUCCAGCGUUUUCUUAUAAAUUUUUAUA